GACGAACGCUGGCGGCGUGCCUAAUACAUGCAAGUAGAACGCUGAAGCGAGGAGCUUGCUCUUCUUGGAUGAGUUGCGAACGGGUGAGUAACGCGUAGGUAACCUGCCUUGUAGCGGGGGAUAACUAUUGGAAACGAUAGCUAAUACCGCAUAACAAUGGAUGACACAUGUCAUUUAUUUGAAAGGGGCAAUUGCUCCACUACAAGAUGGACCUGCGUUGUAUUAGCUAGUAGGUGAGGUAAUGGCUCACCUAGGCGACGAUACAUAGCCGACCUGAGAGGGUGAUCGGCCACACUGGGACUGAGACACGGCCCAGACUACUACGGGAGGCAGCAGUCGGGAAUCUUCGGCAAUGGGGGCAACCCUGACCGAGCAACGCCGCGUGAGUGAAGAAGGUUUUCGGAUCGUAAAGCUCUGUUGUAAGUCAAGAACGGGUGUGAGAGUGGAAAGUUCACACUGUGACGGUAGCUUACCAGAAAGGGACGGCUAACUACGUG
rnacentral:rRNA from 1 species